rnacentral:rRNA from 1 species
GGGUUGUGAGGUUAAGCGACUAAGCGUACACGGUGGAUGCCCUGGCAGUCAGAGGCGAUGAAGGACGUGCUAAUCUGCGAAAAGCGUCGGUAAGGUGAUAUGAACCGUUAUAACCGGCGAUGUCCGAAUGGGGAAACCCAGUGUGAUUCCUCACACUAUCGUUAACUGAAUACAUAGGUUAACGAGGCGAACCGGGGGAACUGAAACAUCUAAGUACCCCGAGGAAAAGAAAUCAACCGAGAUUCCCCCAGUAGCGGCGAGCGAACGGGGAGCAGCCCAGAGUCUGAAUCAGCUUGUGUGUUAGUGGAACGGUCUGGAAAGUCCGACGGUACAGGGUGAUAGUCCCGUACACCAAAAUGCACAGGUUGUGAACUCGAAGAGUAGGGCGGGACACGUGGUAUCCUGUCUGAAUAUGGGGGGACCAUCCUCCAAGGCUAAAUACUCCUGACUGACCGAUAGUGAACCAGUACCGUGAGGGAAAGGCGAAAAGAACCCCGGCGAGGGGAGUGAAAAAGAACCUGAAACCGUGUACGUACAAGCAGUGGGAGCACCUUCGGGUGUGACUGCGUACCUUUUGUAUAAUGGGUCAGCGACUUAUAUUCUGUAGCAAGGUUAACCGUAUAGGGGAGCCGCAGGGAAACCGAGUCUUAACUGGGCGUUAAGUUGCAGGGUAUAGACCCGAAACCCGGUGAUCUAGCCAUGGGCAGGUUGAAGGUUGGGUAACACUAACUGGAGGACCGAACCGACUAAUGUUGAAAAAUUAGCGGAUGACUUGUGGCUGGGGGUGAAAGGCCAAUCAAACCGGGAGAUAGCUGGUUCUCCCCGAAAGCUAUUUAGGUAGCGCCUCGUGAACUCAUCUUCGGGGGUAGAGCACUGUUUCGGCUAGGGGGUCAUCCCGACUUACCAACCCGAUGCAAACUACGAAUACCGAAGAAUGUUAUCACGGGAGACACACGGCGGGUGCUAACGUCCGUCGUGAAGAGGGAAACAACCCAGACCGCCAGCUAAGGUCCCAAAGUCAUGGUUAAGUGGGAAACGAUGUGGGAAGGCACAGACAGCCAGGAUGUUGGCUUAGAAGCAGCCAUCAUUUAAAGAAAGCGUAAUAGCUCACUGGUCGAGUCGGCCUGCGCGGAAGAUGUAACGGGGCUAAACCAUGCACCGAAGCUGCGGCAGCGACACUAUGUGUUGUUGGGUAGGGGAGCGUUCUGUAAGCCUGCGAAGGUGACCUGUGAGGGUUGCUGGAGGUAUCAGAAGUGCGAAUGCUGACAUAAGUAACGAUAAAGCGGGUGAAAAGCCCGCUCGCCGGAAGACCAAGGGUUCCUGUCCAACGUUAAUCGGGGCAGGGUGAGUCGACCCCUAAGGCGAGGCCGAAAGGCGUAGUCGAUGGGAAACAGGUUAAUAUUCCUGUACUUGGUGUUACUGCGAAGGGGGGACGGAGAAGGCUAUGUUAGCCGGGCGACGGUUGUCCCGGUUUAAGCAUGUAGGCUGGUUGUCCAGGCAAAUCCGGAUAAUCAAGGCUGAGGUGUGAUGACGAGGCACUACGGUGCUGAAGUAACAAAUGCCCUGCUUCCAGGAAAAGCCUCUAAGCAUCAGGUAACAUCAAAUCGUACCCCAAACCGACACAGGUGGUCAGGUAGAGAAUACCAAGGCGCUUGAGAGAACUCGGGUGAAGGAACUAGGCAAAAUGGUGCCGUAACUUCGGGAGAAGGCACGCUGGUGUGUAGGUGAAGUCCCUGCGGAUGGAGCUGAGACCAGUCGAAGAUACCAGCUGGCUGCAACUGUUUAUUAAAAACACAGCACUGUGCAAACACGAAAGUGGACGUAUACGGUGUGACGCCUGCCCGGUGCCGGAAGGUUAAUUGAUGGGGUUAUCCGUAAGGAGAAGCUCUUGAUCGAAGCCCCGGUAAACGGCGGCCGUAACUAUAACGGUCCUAAGGUAGCGAAAUUCCUUGUCGGGUAAGUUCCGACCUGCACGAAUGGCGUAAUGAUGGCCAGGCUGUCUCCACCCGAGACUCAGUGAAAUUGAACUCGCUGUGAAGAUGCAGUGUACCCGCGGCAAGACGGAAAGACCCCGUGAACCUUUACUAUAGCUUGACACUGAACAUUGAGCCUUGAUGUGUAGGAUAGGUGGGAGGCUUUGAAGCGUGGACGCCAGUCUGCGUGGAGCCAACCUUGAAAUACCACCCUUUAAUGUUUGAUGUUCUAACGUUGGCCCCUGACCGGGGUUGCGGACAGUGUCUGGUGGGUAGUUUGACUGGGGCGGUCUCCUCCCAAAGCGUAACGGAGGAGCACGAAGGUUAGCUAAUCCUGGUCGGACAUCAGGAGGUUAGUGCAAUGGCAUAAGCUAGCUUGACUGCGAGCGUGACGGCGCGAGCAGGUGCGAAAGCAGGUCAUAGUGAUCCGGUGGUUCUGAAUGGAAGGGCCAUCGCUCAACGGAUAAAAGGUACUCCGGGGAUAACAGGCUGAUACCGCCCAAGAGUUCAUAUCGACGGCGGUGUUUGGCACCUCGAUGUCGGCUCAUCACAUCCUGGGGCUGAAGUAGGUCCCAAGGGUAUGGCUGUUCGCCAUUUAAAGUGGUACGCGAGCUGGGUUUAGAACGUCGUGAGACAGUUCGGUCCCUAUCUGCCGUGGGCGCUGGAGAAUUGAGGGGGGCUGCUCCUAGUACGAGAGGACCGGAGUGGACGCAUCACUGGUGUUCGGGUUGUCAUGCCAAUGGCACUGCCCGGUAGCUAAAUGCGGAAGAGAUAAGUGCUGAAAGCAUCUAAGCACGAAACUUGCCCCGAGAUGAGUUCUCCCUGAGACUUUAAGUCUCCUGAAGGAACGUUGAAGACGACGACGUUGAUAGGCCGGGUGUGUAAGCGCAGCGAUGCGUUGAGCUAACCGGUACUAAUGAACCGUGAGGCUUAACCUUACAACGCCGAAG